rnacentral:rRNA from 1 species
ACUGCCAGCAGAGGCCGGCGAAC